rnacentral:rRNA from 1 species
GAUGAACGCUAGCGGCAGGCCUAAUACAUGCAAGUCGGACGGGAUUGAGUAGCUUGCUAUUCAUGAGAGUGACGCACGGGUGCGUAACACGUAUGUAACCUACCCUUGUCAGGGGGAUAGCCUCUCGAAAGAGAGAUUAAGACCGCAUAACAUUGUAAUGUGGCAUCACAAAACAAUCAAAUAUUUAUAGGACAAGGAUGGGCAUGCGGAACAUUAGCUAGUUGGUAAGGUAACGGCUUACCAAGGCUACGAUGUUUAGGGGAUCUGAGAGGAUGACCCCCCACACUGGUACUGGGACACGGACCAGACUCCUACGGGAGGCAGCAGUAAGGAAUAUUGGUCAAUGGGCGGAAGCCUGAACCAGCCAUGCCGCGUGCAGGAAGACGGCCCUAUGGGUUGUAAACUGCUUUUGCAGGGGAAUAAACCUCGAUACGUGUAUCGAGCUGAAUGUACUCUGAGAAUAAGGAUCGGCUAACUCCGUGCCAGCCGCCGCUGUAACAC